GCCAACAGUACUUCAUAGAAUCUCUAUUUAGUCGUCGUUCCUCUCUUGGUUUUCCACGAAAGCCACAGAUCCCAACCAGGUUGAUGAGCAAUAUCCCCGGCACCUCAGAGUGAGCAUACUACGACUCUCGCUUCAGAGAGUUUGCGAUGAUCUUUGUUCCCGCAUGAGCUCCCUUCGUGGGUGUCUCGGCGGGAAGGGUGUUGGUGGACGUCUGACUGGC
rnacentral:snoRNA from 1 species